rnacentral:tRNA from 2 species
GCUCCAGUAGCUCAGUGGAUAGAGCAUCUGCCUUCUAAGCAGAUGGUCGUAGGUUCGAAUCCUACCUGGGGCG